CCUACGGGCGGCAGCAGUGGGGAAUAUUGGACAAUGGGGGCAACCCUGAUCCAGCCAUGCCGCGUGUGUGAAGAAGGCCCUCGGGUUGUAAAGCACUUUCAGUGAGGAAGAACGCCUGGUGGUUAAUACCCAUCAGGAAAGACAUCACUCACAGAAGAAGCACCGGCUAACUCCGUGCCAGCAGCCGCGGUAAUGCGGAGGGUGCGAGCGUUAAUCGGAAUUACUGGGCGUAAAGCGCGCGUAGGUGGCUUGAUAAGCCGGUUGUGAAAGCCCCGGGCUCAACCUGGGAACGGCAUCCGGAACUGUCAAGCUAGAGUGCAGGAGAGGAAGGUAGAAUUCCCGGUGUAGCGGUGAAAUGCGUAGAGAUCGGGAGGAAUACCAGUGGCGAAGGCGGCCUUCUGGACUGACACUGACACUGAGGUGCGAAAGCGUGGGUAGCAAACAGGAUUAGAUACCCUAGUAGUC
rnacentral:rRNA from 1 species